rnacentral:lncRNA from 1 species
AAAACCCUCAGAACGAAAGCAGCUAAUUGACUUACCCUUUUUCAGACAAACAAACCAAACGCCUCAAUCGAUUUACCCUUAGAACAAACAGCAAAUAGUUAAUGAUACACUUUAUUACAACGAACAACCAACAAUCUUGACAAAUUUGUUAGUGAGGUAAUAGAUUAGAGUCACAUUGCAAGAGAAUAAGGCAACGACUUCCAAUCUUCCAAUCUGUUUUUGAGUCUCAUAGUGAAAUUUUUAUAUGUUUUGAGCUCUCAAUUUGUUAGUGAAAUUCCAAAAACAUUCAAUUUUGUGGAUUAUUAUGAUUUAUCUCUCAAUCUAUUAGUAUUGUUUAAUUUGUUGUUUCAUAGCUAACCCACUUAAUAUAUUGGGGUGUUCUUUAAAUUAGGGAUUUCUUCAAUUUGGGGAUUUUAAGGUUAGUCUAUUCUUCUCAAUUUCAACCUAAUUUUUUAUCUUGAUUUUAAUUUGGGUAGUCUCUUUAUUUUAUUUUAGCUGUACUGUGUGUAGAUUGACAUCUUCUUCAUUAUGACCUUCUUAUAGGAUCAAAUUAUAUUGCUUAAGUAGUCUCUCUGUUUUAUUUUAGCUGUUGGAGAUAGAUGGUCAGCUUCUACCUAGAUUUGUAAUGUUUCAACUUUAUUAAUAAGAGAAAUUUGUUUAAUAAACAAAAUAUUUUGUCUUAGCUUGCUUGCCUUUCUUGUAUGAGUUAGUGUUAGAGCUGGUUUUUACUUUAAGACAAUUCAUAUCAUUUGCUGAAUGCAGAAAAUAAUAGAUGUGGUUCUUUCGGUUUCAGCUUCUUGGUUUCUUUUUCCAUCCCAUGAAAUACAAAUUUAAUCAUUAAAUAUAUAAGAGAGUUUCAUGUAAAGUUCUCAUAGUUAGUAUGUUGUUUUGUGUGUUCUUUAUGAAGUAACCAUAUGAUAAAACUAUACUAAUUAUAGUAUAGCAGAAUUUGGGAGAUUGUAGAGACGAAAUUAUGUUGUUAAUAUGUUGUUUUGUGUGUUCUAAAGAUAUACAUGAAGGUGGAAAAAAGAAAGACUUCACCUGCUAUUUUGAAAAGCUUUUCUAGUGUAUCAGGUAGUAUUAUAAGCUUCCCAUUUUUCUCCUAUAAUGAAUUAAUGUUCUAUUUCAUGUGAAUGGUAACCCUCUUCUUGAUGGAUUUUUUCCCGAUUGCACUAGUUUGACUUGUAUUGCCUGAAUAUGUAGAAUAGGAGACCUCAUUUCUUGAAGGCUUGAAUUGACUACUCUUUUUUUCUUUAUCUAAUCUAAUGAAAUUGCCCUCUUGCUAAUUUAAUUCACUCUUAUUUACAUAAUUUGAUAGGUACUCAUGCAUGCUUUUGUUUCAUCGACGAUUUUCUCUAGCUAUUCCUAUCCACCCUUUUGAUUCAAAUUAGUCUUUUUUCCAUCUUCUUUCUAGUGGGCUCAGAGCUAUUUCAAUACACCUCUUGGAAACUGCAAAAUAAUCAAGAACCGUUUGGACUUUAUGUACCUAUCAUUCACCUUUAUUUUCUGCUUGUACCUUAGCUCUAGCUUCUAAAUUUUGGAUAUUUAUACUAAUUAGGUCGCUAGGCAAAGAAACUAAGCUUUCAUUCUCGAAUGAUAAAUUUUGCAUAUAAUCUUCAACCGGAAAGUGAAACUAAGCUAGAACAGUCGUAGUACUAUAGAUAAAAUAGCAGCAAAUAACUCCAACAUAAAGGAAAACUAGCAAAGGCCAGUUAGAAUGCAUACAUCAAAUACCUCCCCUCGUUGAGGUGCUCUUCUAUGAUUUUCUGAUUAUUAGCAUGAUGAUCAUCAGAAACUCACCUAUAGCUUCAACCAAUCAUAGAACCAUUUUUCUUGUGUGAAUUUCGUUCACACAGCUCGUCCAAAAAAUCUUGUAAGUGUCAAUAAUGUAGACACAGACCUACAAAAAGGGGAUUAAACUGUAUAAACAACUGACAGAGCCAGUAAAAGAGGCAUUACCUCUUAACUGAUGAUGACAUGUAUUAGAAGGAAGAAAAAUAUGCAGAUUAGUCAAGGAUUAAAUAUGUGAAGAAAAAUUAAUGUUUUACGCCUUCAAACAACAGAUAAUGAUCAACUGUUAUUGUAGAGGUUAAGAUAGAGCUGCCCCCCAGAUGGACGAUGACCAGUUCAUUGCUUCUAUAACUUCAACCUCACAAAUGCCUCCUUUAUGACACUCUGAACCUCACCAAUCUUCUUAUUAAAAGAAUGCUGAGUCCAAGUCAGAUUAUGAUGUGUAUAGGACACAAAAACCUAACCCAUCUAAGGGUAUCUAGAACUUCCAACAAUCCAAACACCAUUUAGUAACAAUUUAUUCGCACUUUGGAAUAGGGAAGAUUUAUCCAGUACCUGAUCUUCAGGCAUCAAACCAGGCCAUCCAAUACACACGUUAGUAAAUCCCCCCUUAAUUCAACCACACCUUAGACUGUAAUUGAAUAAGAUGUUUUCUGGUUCCUCUCGAUAUGCCACUUUAAAAAUCAGCAGAAACACUAAUUUUAGGAGCAAUUAUAGGUAUAUGAGUUGUAUACAUUGAUCCCGCAACAUUGGGGAUCCCUGAAAUAGCCUCAUACUCAUCCUUUACAUUUUGCAUUUUCUCUUUAUCAGGCCAUUGGAGAUACUUGGGCAUCAACACAGUCUUAAUCGCAGUACAAACUUCAAGCACGUGUUUAUGGAAAUCGAAAUCCCCAAUCCAAACCACUUUGAGACCAAUCUAAGAGGUUCUCCAGAAGCCCAUCUCCAAAAACAAACAGCUACACAUUAUUUCACUGGUACAUCAUAUCGUAGCAUCGUAUUCUCUUUGGCAAACACAAAACUCAAUUCAUUACAUAUCAGUUCAAAUGUAUCUUUUCCCAUUUGAAAAGCUUUCUUGAACUCCUCUUCAGGGAAAUUAGCACUGUUACAUUGAUCCCACCAAGCUUUUGAUCUAUUCUUCACCCACAAUCGUAUUUAGGGAGCACCCUUUUCACUGGCUUUAUUACUCAAAAUGAUUUCUUCCUGUGCUGCAGCAGCAGAAUGGCACAAGAAGCAGUAGAAGUAGAAGUUCAAUUCCCUUGGACUUUCUAUUUACGAACACUAUCUAGCUGUUGUAAAUUGGAAUGAUGUUUUUGAAUGUUUGAAUAAUAAUCCCACAUCAUUUUAGUUGUUUUCUUGUGAUUUGCGUCCAAUAAGAGUUUAUUCUCUGCUUUUUCCUUUGCAAAUUCCUCUUGUUUUGAUUUUUCUUAUUUUUCAAGUAACAACAAUGAGGUCAUUAUCUCUUUUAGUUCCUUGGUUUUUACAGCACCUUGAUUUUCCACCCCAAUUCAUUAUUUUCGUCGAUGCUAGUGUUGUACUGAUUACUUGGGGUUUCUUGAACGACUUCUUUGUUGAUGUUACUUCAUAUAUGGCCAAAAGGGGAUGCAAGUAAACUUCAGAAAUGGAUUAGGGACAAACAACUUACUUAGAUAUUAUAUUUUCUAUUAAAAAAAGUGUAUGACAAAAAAGGAAUUAUUGUUUUCCCUUUUUUAGGAUGCGUUGGUGAUUGGUCAGUGCAAUAGGAUCCGUAUAUUGAUGAGGUUUUGACUGUUUUGGUAUGUUCUAGGAAUUUACUACGUCUGCUACUUUGAUAUUUUUAUCCAACUAAGAGUGCUCUGUAGUUUAUCUAGUUCUUUGAUGUUUUGCUGCUGCUCUGAUUAUCUACUGCAGUUUUUCUCCAGUAGUGCUCCUUAAAGCAUAGUAGCCUUAACAGAUUGUUGUCUAUAGCUUGAUAUAUAAAUUUGAUUGUGACAUUUUCAAUUAUCAAUGUUCACUUUACGGGCAUUGAAUUAAGUUGGUUACAAGGAACUCUACCAUUGGAACAUACAGAACAGUGAAGGAAGUCUUAAAUUCACAAGUCUUGUUCUACUGCAAUAUGUCACCAAUGUUUUUUGUCAUUUACAGACUUCUUUAAUAGAAUUGAGUGUUCACAAACAUCCCAUGAUCAUAUCCACGAAACUGUCUAUACCUGAAAAGAUCAUGUGAACAGUCAUUCUGCAGAAUCUUCAAGUGUCAGUUCAAGUACAGGGGGUCAGGUUGAAAGUUGUUGACCUUUUAGUUCUACAGCUUCUCUAGCUGAAUAAGUUUACUUGUCUUUAUUUUGGUUAAUUAUUUUCUAGAAAUUGUUAUUCAUCAUUGAAGAUUAGCAGAGUGCGGUUGGUGAUUUUGUACUUUUACUGCAAGGACAAGAACGUUGUACUAGUUGCAUAUUUUGGAUUUAAAUUACUAGCUUUUGGGUUUAAGUUACUAGC